GCGUCCUCUCUCCACCGUUCUCUACUCUUCUUCUUCUUCUCUCUACUUUGCUCCGGAUUCUCCGUCCCCUCAAAUAAAGCGAUCGCCGCUCCCUUUCUCUUCCGCGAUCAUGGCGUUCGACAAGAUCAAAGUCACGAACCCCAUCGUCGAGAUGGACGGUGAUGAAAUGGCUCGGGUUAUUUGGAAAUUAAUCAAAGAUAAGCUUAUUCUUCCUUACCUGGAGUUGGACAUAAAGUACUUUGACCUGGGUAUUCUUAACCGUGAUGCUACAGAGGAUAGAGUUACAGUAGAGAGUGCAAAAGCUACUCUUAAGUACAAUGUGGCAAUCAAAUGUGCAACAAUCACUCCAGAUGAAACUCGUGUUAAGGAGUUCAACUUAAAAGCUAUGUGGAAGAGUCCAAAUGGAACAAUAAGAAACAUCUUGAAUGGAACUGUUUUCAGAGAACCUAUCAUCUGCAAAAACAUCCCAAGGCUUGUUCCAGGAUGGAAAAUGCCGAUAUGCAUUGGAAGGCAUGCUUUUGGUGAUCAGUAUCGAGCAACAGACACAGUGAUUAAAGGGCCUGGAAAGCUUAAGUUAGUAUUUGAGGGGAAAGAAGAACAGGUCGAGCUAGAGGUUUUUAACUUUAAAGGAGCUGGUGGAGUGGCUUUGGCUAUGUAUAAUACUGAUGAGUCCAUUCGUGCUUUUGCUGAGUCUUCAAUGAAUAUGGCUUACCAGAAAAGAUGGCCUCUUUAUCUUAGCACCAAAAAUACUAUUCUCAAGAAUUAUGAUGGGAGGUUUAAAGAUAUAUUCCAAGAGGUGUAUGAGGCUGAAUGGAAAGCAAAGUUUGAGUCUGCAGGAAUAUGGUACGAACAUCGGCUUAUUGAUGAUAUGGUUGCCUAUGCUCUCAAGAGUGAAGGUGGUUAUGUGUGGGCUUGCAAAAACUAUGAUGGUGACGUGCAGAGCGAUUUCUUAGCUCAAGGUUUUGGAUCUCUAGGCCUAAUGACAUCAGUGCUGGUCUGCCCUGAUGGGAAAACAAUUGAAGCUGAAGCUGCACAUGGCACAGUUACUCGCCAUUACCGAGUUUAUAUGAAAGGAGGGGAAACUAGUACGAAUAGCAUUGCUUCAAUCUUUGCAUGGUCAAAGGGCCUUGCACAGAGGGCAAAGCUUGAUGACAGUGCUCAAUUGCGUGACUUCACGGAAAAGCUUGAAGCUGCCUGUGUAGGAACUGUGGAGUCUGGGAAGAUGACGAAAGAUCUCGCCAUCCUAAUUCACGGGCCUAAAGUUGGGCGAGAUCAGUAUCUGAGCACUGAAGAGUUCAUCGAUGCGGUUGCGGAGGAGCUGAGGGCGAGGCUUUAUGGGAGAUCAAAGUUGUAAACCUCUUCUCACUAUAUUAUGUCCUUUGAAACACUGCCAUUUGAUUGGGAAACACAUUUGGUAUUUAGCUCGCAAAGUUCUUUUUAGAUCCGAAUAGGUCGUAGACGCUUUGGCGAACGCCCCGAAAUAAUGCGGUGCUGAGAUUUACGUCGUUGUGUAAUAAAUAAGUGGCUUAUCCAGUGGCCCAAUUCUGAACGGAAUCAAAACUGCUAAUCAGCUUGUACUAAAUUCUAAUGUGUAAGCCUAGUCUUGCAUAGAUGUAGCCCUGUGGAACCUUGUAAUGAAGUUAUAAAGUAAUCAUAUAAUUUCACAAACGAUCAUGUUAUUUGUAUGGUAA